rnacentral:rRNA from 1 species
UACAGAGGUGGCAAGCGUUGUUCGGAAUUACUGGGCGUAAAGGGCGCGUAGGCGGCCAUCUAAGUCAGACGUGAAAUCCCCCGGCUUAACCUGGGAACUGCGUCUGAUACUGGAAGGCUUGAGUAUGGGAGAGGGAUGUAGAAUUCCAGGUGUAGCGGUGAAAUGCGUAGAUAUCUGGAGGAACACCGGUGGCGAAGGCGGCAUUCUGGACUACAACUGACACUGAGGAACGAAAGCCAGGGGAGCAAACGGG